AUUGAACGCUGGCGGCAGGCCUAACACAUGCAAGUCGAGCGGAUGAAGGGAGCUUGCUCCUGGAUUCUGCGGCGGACGGGUGAGUAAUGCCUAGGAAUCUGCCUGAUAGUGGGGGAUAACGUCCGUAAACGGGCGCUAAUAUCGCAUACGUCCUGAGGUAGAAAGUGGGGGAUCUUCGGACCUCACGCGAUCAGAUGAGCCUAGGUCGGAUUAGCUAGUUGGUUGGGUAACGGCCUACCAAGGCGACGAUCCGUAACUGGUCUGAGAGGAUGAUCAGUCACACUGGAACUGAGACACGGUCCAGACUCCUACGGGAGGCAGCAGUGGGGAAUAUUGGACAAUGGGCGAAAGCCUGAUCCAGCCAUGCCGCGUGUGUGAAGAAGGUCUUCGGAUUGUAAAGCACUUUAAGUUGGGAGGAAGAGAAGUAAAUUAAUACCUUGAUGUUUUGACGGUACCAAAAGAAUAAGCACCGGCUAACUUCGUG
rnacentral:rRNA from 1 species